AGAGUUUGAUCAUGGCUCAGAUUGAACGCUGGCGGCAGGCCUAACACAUGCAAGUCGAGCGGUAGCACAGAGAGCUUGCUCUCGGGUGACGAGCGGCGGACGGGUGAGUAAUGUCUGGGAAACUGCCUGAUGGAGGGGGAUAACUACUGGAAACGGUAGCUAAUACCGCAUAACGUCGCAAGACCAAAGUGGGGGACCUUCGGGCCUCAUGCCAUCAGAUGUGCCCAGAUGGGAUUAGCUAGUAGGUGGGGUAACGGCUCACCUAGGCGACGAUCCCUAGCUGGUCUGAGAGGAUGACCAGCCACACUGGAACUGAGACACGGUCCAGACUCCUACGGGAGGCAGCAGUGGGGAAUAUUGCACAAUGGGCGCAAGCCUGAUGCAGCCAUGCCGCGUGUGUGAAGAAGGCCUUCGGGUUGUAAAGCACUUUCAGUGGGGAGGAAGGCGAUAAGGUUAAUAACCUCAUCGAUUGACGUUACCCGCAGAAGAAGCACCGGCUAACUCCGUGCCAGCAGCCGCGGUAAUACGGAGGGUGCAAGCGUUAAUCGGAAUUACUGGGCGUAAAGCGCACGCAGGCGGUCUGUCAAGUCGGAUGUGAAAUCCCCGGGCUCAACCUGGGAACUGCAUUCGAAACUGGCAGGCUAGAGUCUUGUAGAGGGGGGUAGAAUUCCAGGUGUAGCGGUGAAAUGCGUAGAGAUCUGGAGGAAUACCGGUGGCGAAGGCGGCCCCCUGGACAAAGACUGACGCUCAGGUGCGAAAGCGUGGGGAGCAAACAGGAUUAGAUACCCUGGUAGUCCACGCCGUAAACGAUGUCGAUUUGGAGGUUGUGCCCUUGAGGCGUGGCUUCCGGAGCUAACGCGUUAAAUCGACCGCCUGGGGAGUACGGCCGCAAGGUUAAAACUCAAAUGAAUUGACGGGGGCCCGCACAAGCGGUGGAGCAUGUGGUUUAAUUCGAUGCAACGCGAAGAACCUUACCUGGUCUUGACAUCCACAGAACUUUCCAGAGAUGGAUUGGUGCCUUCGGGAACUGUGAGACAGGUGCUGCAUGGCUGUCGUCAGCUCGUGUUGUGAAAUGUUGGGUUAAGUCCCGCAACGAGCGCAACCCUUAUCCUUUGUUGCCAGCGGUCCGGCCGGGAACUCAAAGGAGACUGCCAGUGAUAAACUGGAGGAAGGUGGGGAUGACGUCAAGUCAUCAUGGCCCUUACGACCAGGGCUACACACGUGCUACAAUGGCAUAUACAAAGAGAAGCGACCUCGCGAGAGCAAGCGGACCUCAUAAAGUAUGUCGUAGUCCGGAUUGGAGUCUGCAACUCGACUCCAUGAAGUCGGAAUCGCUAGUAAUCGUAGAUCAGAAUGCUACGGUGAAUACGUUCCCGGGCCUUGUACACACCGCCCGUCACACCAUGGGAGUGGGUUGCAAAAGAAGUAGGUAGCUUAACCUUCGGGAGGGCGCUUACCACUUUGUGAUUCAUGACUGGGGUGAAGUCGUAACAAGGUAACCGUAGGGGAACCUGCGGUUGGAUCACCU
rnacentral:rRNA from 1 species